rnacentral:rRNA from 1 species
CCUACGGGUGGCAGCAGUGAGGAAUAUUGGUCAAUGGGCGCAAGCCUGAACCAGCCAAGUAGCGUGAAGGAUGAAUGCCCUACGGGUUGUAAACCUCUUUUAUACGGGGAUAAAAUGAGCCACGUGUGCCGUUCUGCAGGUACCUUAUGAAUAAGGAUCGGCUAACUCCGUGCCAGCAGCCGCGGUAAUACGGAGGACCCGAGCGUUAUCCGGAUUUAUUGGGGUUAAAGGGAGCGUAGAGGGGUGGUUAAGUCAGUUGUAAAAGUUUGCGGCUCAACCGUCACCCUGCAGUUGAUACUGGAAGUCUUGAGUUCAGUUGAGGUAGGCGGAAUUCGUGGUGUAGCGGUGAAAUGCUUAGAUAUCACGAAGAACUCCGAUUGCGAAGGCAGCUUGC